rnacentral:rRNA from 1 species
UACGGGGGGAGCAAGCGUUGUUCGGAUUUACUGGGCGUAAAGGGCGCGUAGGCGGCCACCGCAAGUCGACUGUGAAAUCUCCGGGCUUAACCCGGAAAGGUCAACUGAUACUGCAGGGCUAGAGUGCAGAAGGGGCAACUGGAAUUCUCGGUGUAGCGGUGAAAUGCGUAGAUAUCGAGAGGAACACCGGCGGCGAAGGCGGGUUGCUGGGCUGACACUGACGCUGAGGCGCGAAAGCCAGGGGAGCGAACGGG